UACGUAGGGGGCAAGCGUUAUCCGGAUUUACUGGGUGUAAAGGGAGCGUAGACGGCGGUGCAAGCCAGAUGUGAAAGCCCGGGGCUCAACCCCGGGACUGCAUUUGGAACUGUGCUGCUAGAGUGUCGGAGAGGCAGGCGGAAUUCCUAGUGUAGCGGUGAAAUGCGUAGAUAUUGCGCAGAACUCCGAUUGCGAAGGCAGCAUACCGGCGGCGAUCUGACGCUGAGGCACGAAAGCGUGGGUAUCGAACAGG
rnacentral:rRNA from 1 species